AGAGUUUGAUCCUGGCUCAGGAUGAACGCUGGCGGUAUGCUUAACACAUGCAAGUCGAACGGAACUCUUCGGAGUUCAGUGGCGGACGGGUGAGUAACGCGUGAGAAUCUGGCUUCAGGUUCGGGACAACCAUUGGAAACGAUGGCUAAUACCGGAUGUGCCGCAGGGUGAAAGAUUAAUUGCCUGAAGAUGAGCUCGCGUCUGAUUAGCUAGUUGGUGGGGUAAGAGCCUACCAAGGCGACGAUCAGUAACUGGUCUGAGAGGAUGACCAGUCACACUGGGACUGAGACACGGCCCAGACUCCUACGGGAGGCAGCAGUGGGGAAUUUUCCGCAAUGGGCGAAAGCCUGACGGAGCAAUACCGCGUGAGGGAGGAAGGCUCUAGGGUUGUAAACCUCUUUUCUCAGGGAAGAACAAAAUGACGGUACCUGAGGAAUAAGCAUCGGCUAACUCCGUGCCAGCAGCCGCGGUAAUACGGAGGAUGCAAGCGUUAUCCGGAUUUAUUGGGCGUAAAGCGUCCGCAGGUGGCAGUUCAAGUCUGCUGUCAAAGGUCGGGGCUCAACCCCGAACAGGCAGUGGAAACUGAACAGCUAGAGUACGGUAGGGGCAGAGGGAAUUCCCAGUGUAGCGGUGAAAUGCGUAGAGAUUGGGAAGAACACCGGUGGCGAAAGCGCUCUGCUAGGCCGAAACUGACACUCAUGGACGAAAGCUAGGGGAGCGAAUGGGAUUAGAUACCCCAGUAGUCC
rnacentral:rRNA from 1 species